GAUGAACGCUGGCGGCGUGCUUAACACAUGCAAGUCGAACGGAAAGGCCCAAGCUUGCUUGGGUACUCGAGUGGCGAACGGGUGAGUAACACGUGGGUGAUCUGCCCUGCACUUCGGGAUAAGCCUGGGAAACUGGGUCUAAUACCGGAUAGGACCACAGUUUGGAUGGUGUGGUGGAAAGUUUUUCGGUGUGGGAUGAGCUCGCGGCCUAUCAGCUUGUUGGUGGGGUAAUGGCCUACCAAGGCGUCGACGGGUAACCGGCCUGGGAGGGUGUACGGCCACAUUGGGGCUGAGAUACGGCCCAGACUCCUAAGGGGGGCAGCAGUGGGGAAUAUUGCACAAUGGGCGCAAGCCUGAUGCAGCGACGCCGGGUGGGGGAUGACGGCCUUCGGGUUGUAAACUCCUUUCGCUAGGGACGAAGCGUUAUGUGACGGUACCUGGAGAAGAAGCACCGGCUAACUACGUG
rnacentral:rRNA from 1 species